AUUAAAUCUUGGUUACACAUCAGAGCCCCUGCGGAAGUCCUUCUUUUGGAUCAACUCUCUAUAAAAUUUAUUCCUGCUUGCUUGAGACUGCUUUCCAAUCUUGGAAUUUUCCAUUAUCUUCCUCAUCCUCCACCUGCUUUUUUUCUUUUUCUUCCCCAGGUUGUCAGCUUGGAUAUUUGCAUUCACAUCACAACUGGAGUAAAGAGGCAGAAAUGAAAAUAAGAACUGAAAUACAAGCAUCUGGCCUCCUUUGAAGACCUUUCUCUGUUAUCACCACAGUACUUGGCUCCUGAGGUGGCGCUGGCCAUGAAGGCAUUGGGCCUCCUCACCAGGGAUCGCACUGCAUUCUGGGUAUUGCCUCACACCAGACCUGGACAUGACCUCUAUCAUUGAAGAGAAAAGCAACCAUGAUAUCCUGGCAUCUACAAAAGACGUCCAUUCAUGCAAACAUUCCCCACCUCAUCUGAUACGUAUUAUGAAGUGCUAUGCAUUAGAUCCUGUGCUCGGCACAGACAUGCACGUUCUUAUAAACUGUCCGUGGAAUCUGAGUUCAAACCUCAGCCUCUUUCAGUCCUAUUGAUUUGAUCUUGUGUGUGUUAGCCUCUGUUCCUCAGAUCCAGCUCCUUCUUUCUAAUUCCCUAUCUCAGCCAUGACAUCACCAUCAUCUUCCUGUCCCCGUUCAGAACCCUAGAAAUGAUUUUAUUCUCCUCACUAACCCUCUCUGUAAUGUCCAAUCAACCCCCAGUGAUGUGUGAUUUAACUCCUACAUAUCUCUUUGUCAUUAGCCUCACUCUAAUCCGUUCCACAGGUAUUCUUUGAGGAGUCUAUGUCCCAGGCUCUCUGCUGGACAUGAGGUUACCUGUCCCCAACGAGUUCUCAGACUGGUCCGGUACACCCACAAACACACAAUUCCCCUACAGCGAAUGGGUGUGAUGACACUAUAACCCCACUUUUAACUGCACACUUAAUCAUUGCCAAACACUGUUCUAUGCACUUUAAAUGCAUUGAAUAAUUUAAUCACAAUAACCCUCAGAGGUAGGUAACAUUAUUUUAUUUAUUUAUUUAUUUAAUUAUUUAUUUAUUUAUUUAUUUAUUUAUGUUUUAUAUCAGAGAAAGAGAGAGAAUGCGCCAGCUGGGGAGGCGGUGUGGAGAGACUUUCAAGCAGACUCCAGCCUGAUGCAGGGGUCAAUCCCACGAUCCUGGGGAUCAUGACCUAAGCCCAAAUGAAGAGUCAGAUGCUCAACCAACUGAGCCACCCAGAUGGCCCUUAUUAUCUUUACUUCACAGAUAAGGAAACUGAGGCAACAGAGAGAAUAAGCAACUUGCCCAAGGUCACAUAGCUAGUUAGCAGUGGAGGCACCAUGCAGUGUCUCACAAGCUGACUUCAAAGCCAUUGCUGUUAACUGCCACUGAACUCUUCUUCUGUUUGAGGGAACGGGAGAGAGUUUUCAGGGUGCCUUAAGGAAAGCUUCUAGCUGGACUGAAGCGCCUUCUCUGAGCUGUUGUCUAUGCUGAAGCUUCCAUGUGAGCGGGGGCUCGCCAGAGCAAUUCUCCACGUUCCACAGCUACCACAGGCCCUCACCUUGACCAGCCUCUUCACUGGUCCCCUCCCUGUUAGUCCUUUCUCCCCACCUGUACCACAGUGAGCUUUCUAACCACAUUUGACCAUCUUACUACUCUUCUGCCUACGUUUCCAGGGGCACCUGGGUGGCUCAGUCGGUUAGGCAUUCGACUUCAACUCAGGUCAUAAUCUCACCAUUCCCGAGUUCGAGCCCCACCUCGGGCUCUGUGCUGACAGCUCAGAGCCUGGAGGCUGUUUCAGAUUCUGUGUCUCCCUCUCUAUCUCUCCCCCUCCCCUACUUGUACUCUGUCUCUGUCUCUCUCUCAAAAAUAAAUAAACAUGAACAAAAAUUAAAAUGUGUUUC
rnacentral:lncRNA from 1 species